GCCAGGUGCAAAUGUCAGGCCAGCAAUGCAGUCCAGCUUGCAUGGACGUGCAUCACCUAGGAAGUUGUGACUUGGCUGCAGUUUCCACUUCAGGUGAGACGGAAGGGUGAACUCUACCUCACCUCCUG
rnacentral:lncRNA from 1 species